UACGUAGGGCGCGAGCGUUGUCCGGAAUUAUUGGGCGUAAAGAGCUCGUAGGCGGCUCGUCGCGUCGGUUGUGAAAACCCGCAGCAUAACUGUGGGCGUGCAGCCGAUACGGGUGGGCUAGAGUUCGGUAGGGGAGACUGGAAUUCCUGGUGUAGCGGUGAAAUGCGCAGAUAUCAGGAGGAACACCGGUGGCGAAGGCGGAUCUCUGGGCCAUUACUGACGCUGAGGAGCGAAAGCGUGGGGAGCGAACAGG
rnacentral:rRNA from 1 species